GAGUGCCAAUUCCAUGGGUCACUAGACAUUUUCCCUGUGGAAUCUGUGUCCAUGAGUCGCGUAAGGAAGGGGCACAAAGAGGUUAAGGUGCACUGGUUGCCUUGUCCAUCAUGUAAGAAGACUUGGCCGCCCACUUUGGAGCCUGAGGGUAACGUCCAGAUGACCCUAACUGCCUGUUAAUCUGGCAUGAAUGACUGUAGUUCCAGAUGUUACCUUUCUCCUACUAAAUUUGUUUUUCAUGGUGAAGAUAUGUUGUGACUAACAUUACACUGACAAGAUAGGGCAACUUAGAAAUGAGAACAUUUACCAAAGGAGCAGUCUAGCUAUAGUCUGUUCUUUUAAAGAAAGCAAUACCACAAUGAACUAUAUAGUUUUGUAAUGGAGCCAAACAUAGUUUUGGCAGAAAACUAAAUUGUGCAUCUGUUUACCUGACUGUUACUGUGUGACCAACAACAUAGGCUUAACUAAAAGAGCGGCCACUUAAGA